AGUGAACGCUGGCGGCAGGCCUAACACAUGCAAGUCGAACGGCAGCACAGUAAGAGCUUGCUCUUACGGGUGGCGAGUGGCGGACGGGUGAGGAAUACAUCGGAAUCUACUUUUUCGUGGGGGAUAACGUAGGGAAACUUACGCUAAUACCGCAUACGACCUACGGGUGAAAGCAGGGGAUCUUCGGACCUUGCGCGAUUGAAUGAGCCGAUGUCGGAUUAGCUAGUUGGCGGGGUAAAGGCCCACCAAGGCGACGAUCCGUAGCUGGUCUGAGAGGAUGAUCAGCCACACUGGAACUGAGACACGGUCCAGAUUCCUACGGGAGGCAGCAGUGGGGAAUAUUGGACAAUGGGCGCAAUCCUGAUCCAGCCAUACCGCGUGGGUGAAGAAGGCCUUCGGGUUGUAAAGCCCUUUUGUUGGGAAAGAAAAGCAGCAGGUUAAUACCCCGCUGUUCUGACGGUACCCAAAGAAUAAGCACCGGCUAACUUCGUG
rnacentral:rRNA from 1 species